GGAGCGUUCUGUAAGCCUGCGAAGGUGUGCUGUGAGGCAUGCUGGAGGUAUCAGAAGUGCGAAUGCUGACAUAAGUAACGAUAAAGCGGGUGAAAAGCCCGCUCGCCGGAAGACCAAGGGUUCCUGUCCAACGUUAAUCGGGGCAGGGUGAGUCGACCCCUAAGGCGAGGCCGAAAGGCGUAGUCGAUGGGAAACAGGUUAAUAUUCCUGUACUUGGUGUUACUGCGAAGGGGGGACGGAGAAGGCUAUGUUGGCCGGGCGACGGUUGUCCCGGUUUAAGCGUGUAGGCUGGUUUUCCAGGCAAAUCCGGAAAAUCAAGGCUGAGGCGUGAUGACGAGGCACUACGGUGCUGAAGCAACAAAUGCCCUGCUUCCAGGAAAAGCCUCUAAGCAUCAGGUAACAUCAAAUCGUACCCCAAACCGACACAGGUGGUCAGGUAGAGAAUACCAAGGCGCUUGAGAGAACUCGGGUGAAGGAACUAGGCAAAAUGGUGCCGUAACUUCGGGAGAAGGCACGCUGAUAUGUAGGUGAAGUCCCUUGCGGAUGGAGCUGAAAUCAGUCGAAGAUACCAGCUGGCUGCAACUGUUUAUUAAAAACACAGCACUGUGCAAACACGAAAGUGGACGUAUACGGUGUGACGCCUGCCCGGUGCCGGAAGGUUAAUUGAUGGGGUCAGCGCAAGCGAAGCUCUUGAUCGAAGCCCCGGUAAACGGCGGCCGUAACUAUAACGGUCCUAAGGUAGCGAAAUUCCUUGUCGGGUAAGUUCCGACCUGCACGAAUGGCGUAAUGAUGGCCAGGCUGUCUCCACCCGAGACUCAGUGAAAUUGAACUCGCUGUGAAGAUGCAGUGUACCCGCGGCAAGACGGAAAGACCCCGUGAACCUUUACUAUAGCUUGACACUGAACAUUGAGCCUUGAUGUGUAGGAUAGGUGGGAGGCUUUGAAGUGUGGACGCCAGUCUGCAUGGAGCCGGCCUUGAAAUACCACCCUUUAAUGUUUGAUGUUCUAACGUGGACCCGUGAUCCGGGUUGCGGACAGUGUCUGGUGGGUAGUUUGACUGGGGCGGUCUCCUCCUAAAGAGUAACGGAGGAGCACGAAGGUUGGCUAAUCCUGGUCGGACAUCAGGAGGUUAGUGCAAUGGCAUAAGCCAGCUUGACUGCGAGCGUGACGGCGCGAGCAGGUGCGAAAGCAGGUCAUAGUGAUCCGGUGGUUCUGAAUGGAAGGGCCAUCGCUCAACGGAUAAAAGGUACUCCGGGGAUAACAGGCUGAUACCGCCCAAGAGUUCAUAUCGACGGCGGUGUUUGGCACCUCGAUGUCGGCUCAUCACAUCCUGGGGCUGAAGUAGGUCCCAAGGGUAUGGCUGUUCGCCAUUUAAAGUGGUACGCGAGCUGGGUUUAGAACGUCGUGAGACAGUUCGGUCCCUAUCUGCCGUGGGCGCUGGAGAACUGAGGGGGGCUGCUCCUAGUACGAGAGGACCGGAGUGGACGCAUCACUGGUGUUCGGGUUGUCAUGCCAAUGGCACUGCCCGGUAGCUAAAUGCGGAAGAGAUAAGUGCUGAAAGCAUCUAAGCACGAAACUUGCCCCGAGAUGAG
rnacentral:rRNA from 1 species